rnacentral:tRNA from 1 species
AUAGCUCAGGGGUAGAGCACAACCUUGCCAAGGUUGGGGUCGCGAGUUCGAAUCUCGUUUCCCGCUCCAUCU